rnacentral:rRNA from 1 species
UACAGGGGGGGGCAAGCGUUGUUCGGAAUUAUUGGGCGUAAAGAGCUCGUAGGCGGCUUGUCACGUCGGGUGUGAAAGACCGGGGCUUAACUCCGGUUCUGCAUUCGAUACGGGCUAGCUAGAGUGUGGUAGGGGGAGAUCGGAAUUCCUGGUGUAGCGGUGAAAUGCGCAGAUAUCAGGAGGAACACCGGUGGCGAAGGCGGAUCUCUGGGCCAUUACUGACGCUGAGGAGCGAAAGCGUGGGGAGCGAACAGG